rnacentral:rRNA from 1 species
AAGCGCAGCUUAACAUGCAAGUCGAACGGCAGCACGGGAGCAAUCCUGGUGGCGAGUGGCGAACGGGUGUAGUAAUAUAUCGGAACGUGCCCAGUCGUGGGGGAUAACGCAGCGAAAGCUGUGCUAAUACCGCAUACGAUCUAUGGAUGAAAGCGGGGGAUCGCAAGACCUCGCGCGAUUGGAGCGGCCGAUAUCAGAUUAGCUAGUUGGUGGGGUAAAGGCCCACCAAGGCGACGAUCUGUAGCUGGUCUGAGAGGACGACCAGCCACACUGGAACUGAGACACGGUCCAGACUCCUACGGGAGGCAGCAGUGGGGAAUUUUGGACAAUGGGCGCAAGCCUGAUCCAGCAAUGCCGCGUGCAGGAUGAAGGCCUUCGGGUUGUAAACUGCUUUUGUACGGAACGAAACGGUCCUUUCUAAUACAAGGGGCUAAUGACGGUACCGUAAGAAUAAGCACCGGCUAACUACGUGCCAGCAGCCGCGGUAAUACGUAGGGUGCGAGCGUUAAUCGGAAUUACUGGGCGUAAAGCGUGCGCAGGCGGUUAUGUAAGACAGAUGUGAAAUCCCCGGGCUCAACCUGGGACCUGCAUUUGUGACUGCAUAGCUAGAGUACGGUAGAGGGGGAUGGAAUUCCGCGUGUAGCAGUGAAAUGCGUAGAUAUGCGGAGGAACACCGAUGGCGAAGGCAAUCCCCUGGACCUGUACUGACGCUCAUGCACGAAAGCGUGGGGAGCAAACAGGAUUAGAUACCCUGGUAGUCCACGCCCUAAACGAUGUCAACUGGUUGUUGGGUCUUC